rnacentral:snRNA from 1 species
ACACUUAGCUGGUGGGAAGAUACUAUGAUCACGAAGGUGGUUUUCUCAGGGUGAGGCUUAUCCAUUGCACUCCUGAUGUGCUGACUCCUGUGAUUUCCCCAAAUGUGGGAAACUUGACCGCAAAAUUUGUGGCUGUGGGGAGAGUGUAUUUGCACUCUCCCCUG